AAUCCAGUAAUGUUGUCACAACCUAAUUCCUUUGGAUAAGAUGACCAAUGGCUUUUACAACGCCAGAACAGAUGGUGGCAGUAGUGUGCGGAUUGUGUGUGGCAGCCGGAAACAACGAGCUUGCCGAGUUCUUUGACUGAAUACAUAUCCGCGGACACUCUGAAGGCGGCAUUCAAGAUGUUUGUAGGGUCCUCACCUCAGCUACCUCUCACAAGGUGCCCCUGAAAAAGAAAUUCAAGACGUUUGGGUCCUCAGCUCAACUGACCAAGACCUUUGCUCAUUGAAGGCAUGAAGUAAUUUGUGAUGCCCCCACGAUUGCAGUUUUUAAACGCAGAUGGCUUGCUCUUUUUAACAUGUGCGAGAGCUGGAUGGUCUUUCAACAACACUGCUCCGGGUCUUCAGCAAGAAAGGUGCUUCUCAUGCAAGGAAGAUACAGAGGAUCCUGGUGCCCAUGACUCAGACUGACAACAUUGAUGUGAAGAGGGAGUGCAUGCUGAGGAGCUGACGGUCUACCUGAAUGAAGAGCCAGACAAAGUGGUAUGUUACAACUCGGCAGCUAGAUCUGUCUUUUUCGUUAUUAGGUGGCAUAGGGAGAUCGCACACAUCAGUGGCCUGCGAGGCUCAUUUUGUUGGGCUCUGGUGGGCUCCUCCUGUGCUACCUGACAUGUCUCCUGGCAUAUCAUCCACGUUCUGGACACUGCUGGAGGACACACCAAACCUUCUUGCAUUGAUGUGCCAUCUUGGCCUCAGUUAUGUGUUCUUUGCAAACACGAAUCUGCCCAAUUCCAGCUUUGCUAAAGCACCCUCACAUCAUCACAAACCCUUUGCCAAAUUUCACGUUCAAUCCAACACCAGUCAUCUCUGAUUUGUAGAUCUCUGCAGGUCUCUAUCUACCCAUGAGGGUGUUGCACUUGCUGUGGCACAUUGCGAAGGCCGCAUUACUGAAGCAGCAGAAGUUAUCUUAGAAGAAAACUUAAACUCAAUAUAGGUUUUAGUUCUGGAAUACGAUCGUGCUGUAGGGUAAUAGUUUUCUCAUAGUUUCACCUUAGACAACUCCCCCUCAGGAGACCAAACUUUGAGCAGACUCUUUUGCAUUGGAUGGGUGGGGUUUGACAUAUCUUUCUCUCUCAUGCAAUUUUUGGUUGACAAUGUGCCUAAAAGGGCCAAUAUGUU